rnacentral:rRNA from 1 species
CACGUGUGCAACCAACCCCGUACCGGGAGAUAACCCGCGGAAACGUGGACUAACACCCCAUAACACCUUUCCCCCGCAUGGGGGGGAGUUUAAAACCCCGGUGGUACGGGACGGGCACGCGCGACAUUAGGUAGUUGGCGGGGUAACGGCCCACCAAGCCGACGAUGUCUAGGGGUUCUGAGAGGAAGGUCCCCCACACUGGAACUGAGACACGGUCCAGACUCCUACGGGAGGCAGCAGUGAGGAAUAUUGGUCAAUGGGCGAGAGCCUGAACCAGCCAAGUCGCGUGAGGGAAGAAUGGUCUAUGGCCUGUAAACCUCUUUUGUCAAGGAAGAAUAAGCGGCACGAGUGCCACCUUGCCAGUACUUGACGAAUAAGCAUCGGCUAACUCCGUGCCAGCAGCCGCGGUAAUACGGGGGAUGCGAGCGUUAUCCGGAUUUAUUGGGUUUAAAGGGCGCGUAGGCGGGACGGCAAGUCAGCGGUAAAAGACUGCAGCUAAACUGUAGCACGCCGUUGAAACUGUCGACCUGGAGACGAGACGAGGGAGGCGGAACAAGUGAAGUAGCGGUGAAAUGCGUAGAUAUCACUUGGAACCCCGAUAGCGAAGGCAGCUUCCCAGGCUCGAUCUGACGCUGAUGCGCGAGAGCGUGGGUAGCGAACAGGAUUAGAUACCCUGGUAGUCCACGCCGUAAACGAUGCUCACUGGAUCUUGGCGAUACACGGCCAGGGUUCAAGCGAAAGUAUUAAGUGAGCCACCUGGGGAGUACGUCGGCAACGAUGAAACUCAAAGGAAUUGACGGGGGCCCGCACAAGCGGAGGAACAUGUGGUUUAAUUCGAUGAUACGCGAGGAACCUUACCCGGGUUUAAAUGCAGGUUGCAUGAGGUGGAAACACCUCUUUCCCUCGGGACUACCUGCAAGGUGCUGCAUGGUUGUCGUCAGCUCGUGCCGUGAGGUGUCGGGUUAAGUCCCAUAACGAGCGCAACCCCUAUCGCCAGUUGCCAUCGGUUCAAGCCGGGCACUCUGUCGAGACUGCCACCGUAAGGUGCGAGGAAGGCGGGGAUGACGUCAAAUCAGCACGGCCCUUACACCCGGGGCGACACACGUGUUACAAUGGCCGGUACAGAGGGCAGCCACGGGGCGACCCGGAGCGAAUCUCUAAAGCCGGUCGUAGUUCGGACUGGAGUCUGCAACCCGACUCCACGAAGUUGGAUUCGCUAGUAAUCGCGCAUCAGC